AAAUAAAUUCUAAUCUUGUUCUGAAUUUAUUUUUUAAAAAAGAAUAAAUUCAGAACAGAAUUUAGGGCUCGACUUUAAGGCUUGUCCGAUUUCUUUAUACGACAAAUGGAAAAGAAAUUUACUUGUCCCACCACACAAGUUAAAAGUCACAAAAAAAAUCCUCACAAUGUUUCAUCUGCUCUGCACCUUUACUGUGCGCACUGAAAAAGAGGGAUGAUGCAUCACAGACAGACAAAAUCUGUGACGAGAUGUCAAGAGGCAGAUAUUCACAUUUUAUUACAUAAUGAAAAGGUCCAAACCUUCAGAUGCACAAGAAAGAAAACGGAGAAAAGAGGAGGAGGAAAAGAAAGUCCAAUAUAGAGGUAUGUCGUCUAAUGUUAACAUAGCUAGCUAAGAAGCAAUAAAGCUAAUGCUAGAUAAUGAUGCUACGAUAGCUGCUGGACUCACAUAUCGUUACAGAUUGAAGGAUAUGAGACUGAAUGACAAGCCAGUAGCGAGCUAUCUGGAUAACUGCUCCUUCCUACAACAUGCACUCAGGAAAUAUCUGCAGAAGCCUCCAGCUGCUGGAGAAGUUACAUCUGAUCUCCCAUCUACACCACUCUCUGAAGCAGAUUUAACUGCAGGUGAAGCAACAACAGACACAACAGACACUUCUACUACUCUACAGCCUGCAGACACCAUCAACUGGAACAGAUCCUGAAGUAUGUGAGUCCAUCAAGGCAGCAGCUAUAGAUCCUGCUGACUGGCAGCCCUGUCUGAUAUGGUGAGGACAGAGAUAGUCAGCAGAGGCCAUAUCAGCUAAAAUAAGACUCGACAUUUACAAAAUGAGAGGAUGGGAGAAGUUCCCAUCACCACCACUUCUACAGAAAAUAAGUGAAUGGAGAGAAAAUCAAGAGAAGUUGGUUGGGUAUAUUCCAAGAAAAAAUUUAAAAAAGUCUUUACUGCUUCUGCUGCAACCUGUUCUCACAAAAAAACUACAAACUAAUCAGUAAUUGAUUUAAUGACUGGAAAAAUUGCAGUGAAAUACUCAAAACCCACGAGAACAGUCCAGGGAUCUCAUUUGUUGAGUAAGCAGGAACGGGGCCUGAAAGAGGCGUACGCCACUUCCCAAGCAAAAGUUGUGAUCUAUAAAAACAAACUUGAUGGGACAAUGUGCGCACCUGCACCUAAACUCUUACCCAUGCGUAGGAACAUUUUAGAGACAGGGGAAAUCAACGAUGCAGAAUUGAAGUGAAUUGAAGGCAGAUUGUAUAAUAAUCCUCUCACACAUUUCAUUUGACUUAAUAUCAAACAUCAAUUAUAGAUCCACAUUAUCAGAAACACUCAAACCAGCAGUGUUAUCUGUACUUUGGCUUGUAGUGAGCCAUAACUUCCAUAAACAUCUUUCAAUUUGUAAAGAUAUAAAGCAACUCAGAUGUUAAAGUCUGCCCAACAUUUCAUCAGUGCUGCCUCACCCGGAGCACAAAGGAGAGAGUCAGUUGUGGAGCAGCAGCAGCUGAAAUGAAUGAUGUCAGGAUGUGGCAGGUGGCAGGAUUCUGCAAAGUCUGGGUUGCCUUUCUCCAAUAUUAGCUAAGCAUGAAAAUAUUGAUUCAUUUUCACCUUGGCCACGUUAACUUACUGAUGAAAUGAUCAUCAUUGAUUGUAGAAAUCCAAGAUGACAUCAAAUAACUUCAACAAACGUAACUAAAACAUAUUUACAGGACAGAGCGUUAAUAGAUUUUUAAUAUUUGGUUAUACUGUGCAUAUAUCACCAAGUAUGAGUUCCCAUGUAGUUUAUAUGUGUAAAAUGGCUACAGUAAACACGGCUGUAUUGUCAAGCACAGAGACACUGGAGACACAGCGGUGGCUGCCACACACACUCUGCCUUCUCCAGUCACCUCACCGGCUCAUCUUCACCACCUGUGCUCACUGUGUCAAUUAGAGAAAUACCUGUAUGCUGGAUUUUGGAGUAAAUAUAAACUAAUAUAGUGUUUAUUGUAUUUUACAUAUUGAGUGAGUGGUGUAAAAACUACUUAUACUGGUUAACUGGGAGCUUGCCCACUGCAGGGUGUGUUAAACAUUUAACCAGAGAUGUCUGACUUAACAAUCCACAGGAAUGUUUAUUGAGGUUGUAUAUGGUUGUUUUGGGUUACACACAUAAUUUCAAUACGUGUGAAAACGGGGAAAUAAAAGGUUAAAUGUC